rnacentral:rRNA from 1 species
UGCGUAGGGUGCGAGCGUUAAUCGGAAUUACUGGGCGUAAAGCGUGCGCAGGCGGUUUUGUAAGCCAGGUGUGAAAUCCCCGGGCUCAACCUGGGAAUGGCAUUUGGGACUGCAAGGCUGGAGUGCGGCAGAGGAGACUGGAAUUCCUGGUGUAGCAGUGAAAUGCGUAGAUAUCAGGAGGAACACCGAUGGCGAAGGCAGGUCUCUGGGCUGACACUGACGCUCAUGCACGAAAGCGUGGGGAGCAAACAGG